GGCAUUUAUGUGUGUUUUUGUCUUAAUUUAUGGACUAAACUUAACGAACAGGUGCAAAAAAUAAAUCCUCUUUUGCAACCCAGAACUCAUUGCUUGGUAUGAGUUUUGAUACAUAUAAGAAGGCAUUUC
rnacentral:snoRNA from 1 species